UGCUCUUCUUUUCCAGCUUGGUUUGACUUCCGCAACUCUUGUCGCUUUAAAUCUACUUCUUGCUGAAAUUCAAGGUACCCUGGCUCUUUCUCCAACUUCUCCACAAAAGAAGAAGUCACCUUUACCUUCUUGAGUAAAGUGAUCACUUGCUCUAGAUUUUGAUCCUCCAUCUCCUCUUCAGCUGUCAUUGAUCGUGUGUUUUUGGUUGAUUCCAUGGUUACCUAUUUCACACAAUAAUUGCAGGUUCGAGAAAAUUUCC
rnacentral:lncRNA from 1 species